UACCAGCACCCCGAGUGGUCGGGACGUUUAUUGGGCCUAAAGCAUCCGUAGCCGGUUCUACAAGUCCUCCGUUAAAUCCACCUGCUUAACAGAUGGGCUGCGGAAGAUACUAUGGAGCUAGGAGGCGGGAGAGGCAAGCGGUACUCGAUGGGUAGGGGUAAAAUCCGUUGAUCCAUUGAAGACCACCAGUGGCGAAGGCGGCUUGCCAGAACGCGCUCGACGGUGAGGGAUGAAAGCUGGGGGAGCAAACCGG
rnacentral:rRNA from 1 species